rnacentral:rRNA from 1 species
CUGAUCCUGACGACAAAGGAGCAAAACUGGCGGGACUUCGUGGGACGGCACAAGGAUGAUCCAUGGGGGCACGUAUACCGAAUAUGCCGAGGCCGGAAGAAGACAACCGAUCUCGGAUGUCUCCGGUCGAACGGCGCGCUUUCCGUAACGUGGCACGACUGCGCAAAUAUGCUCCUCCGCAACUUCUUCCCUGUUGCGGAGUCGACAACACGAGAUGACUUACCCCCUGGUACCCCACCGAUCCUCGAAGCCUUCGAGGUGGCUACCAGCGUCGCAAGGCUGAGAAGCCGGCGAUCGCCGGGUAUGGAUGGCAUCACGGGCGGUAUUGUCAAGGAGGUAUGGCGUGCCAUCCCCCAGCACCUGACGAAGCUGUACUCUCGGUGCCUCUCGGAAGGAUACUUUCCGGCCGAGUGGAAGCACCCGAGAGUGAUACCGCUGGUAAAGGGGCCAGAUAAGGACAGGAGCGAUCCUGCCUCUUAUCGUGGCAUAUGCCUUUUGCCAGUGUUCGGGAAGGCGCUGGAAGGAAUCAUGGUGAAUCGACUGAAGGAUGUGCUACCGGAUGGCUGCAGAUGGCAAUUCGGAUUCAGGCCUGGACGCUGCGUGGAGGAUGCGUGGAUGCACGCCAAAAACACCGUCGCCAACAGCCGCGAGAGGAGAGUCCUUGGAAUCUUUGUCGACUUCAAGGGAGCUUUCGACAACGUGGAGUGGAGUGCGGUGCUGGAUCGGCUUGUCGACGUAGGCUGUCGAGAAAUCGACUUGUGGAAAAGCUAUUUCUCCGGCCGGAGCGCAAGCAUCAUCAGCAGGUAUGAAGCGGCCACAGUUGCGGUUACACGUGGCUGCCCGCAAGGGUCUGUCAGUGGCCCAUUUAUUUGGAACCUACUGAUGGAUGUGCUGCUUCAGCGCUUGGAGCCACAUUGUGCUCUGAGCGCGUUUGCAGAUGAUCUUCUGCUUUUCGUCGACGGGAAUUCCCGUGCCGAUCUGGAGCGGAAGGGCGAGCAGUUAAUGGACAUCGUGGGAGCCUGGGGAGCUGAGGUUGGAGUGAGUGUGUCAACCAGCAAGACGGCAAUAAUGUUGCUGAAAGGACAGCUUUCACGCACGAGGAGACCGACGGUACGGUUUGCUGGAGCAAGCCUGCCUUACGUCACCAAAUGCCGGUACCUUGGCAUCUUAGUUGGCGAGCGGUUGAGCUUUCUCCCGCAUAUCUCUGCUCUCAGAGAUCGGCUGGCUGGAGUUGCCGGAGCCGCUAAGGAGUGUGUAACAACUCACCUGCCGAAGCAACUAGCCCUUAAAAUGGAUGGCGCUUAAGUUGUAUACCUAUACAUUACCGCUAAAGUAGAUGAUUUAUAUUACUUGUGAUAUAAAUUUUGAAACUUUAGUGAGUAGGAAGGUACAAUGGUAUGCGUAGAAGUGUUUGGCGCAAGCCUGCAUGGAGCUGCCAUUGGUACAGAUCUUGGUGGUAGUAGCAAAUAAUCGAAUGAGACCUUGGAGGACUGAAGUGGAGAAGGGUUUCGUGUGAACAGUGGUUGAUCACGAGUUAGUCGGUCCUAAGUUCAAGGCGAAAGCCGAAAAUUUUCAAGUAAAACACAAAUGCCAUACAAAUAUAUUAUAUUAUAUAAAUCAAGCUAAUUAAUAUACUUGAAUAAUUUUGAACGAAAGGGAAUACGGUUCCAAUUCCGUAACCUGUUGAGUAUCCGUUUGUUAUUAAAUAUGGGCCUCGUGCUCAUCCUGGCAACAGGAACGACCAUAAAGAAGCCGUCGAGAGAUAUCGGAAGAGUUUUCUUUUCUGUUUUAUAGCCGUACUACCAUGGAAGUCUUUCGCAGAGAGGUAUGGUAGAUGGGCUAGAAGAGCAUGACAUAUACUGUUGUGUCGAUAUUUUCUCCUCGGACCUUGAAAAUUUAUGGUGGGGCCACGCAAACUUCUCAACAGGCCGUACCAAUAUCCGCAGCUGGUCUCCAAGGUGAAGAGUCUCUAGUCGAUAGAAUAAUGUAGGUAAGGGAAGUCGGCAAAUUAGAUCCGUAACUUCGGGAUAAGGAUUGGCUCUGAAGAUUGAGAUAGUCGGGCUUGAUUGGGAAACAAUAACAUGGUUUAUGUGCUCGUUCUGGGUAAAUAGAGUGUCUGGCAUUUAUGUUGGUCACUUGUUCCCCGGAUAGUUUAGUUACGUAGCCAAUUGUGGAACUUUCUUGCUAAAAUUUUUAAGAAUACUAAUUGGGUUAAACCAAUUAGUUCUUAUUAAUUAUAACGAUUAUCAAUUAACAAUCAAUUCAGAACUGGCACGGACUUGGGGGAUCCGACUGUCUAAUUAAAACAAAGCAUUGUGAUGGCCCUAGCGGGUGUUGACACAAUGUGAUUUCUGCCCAGUGCUCUGAAUGUCAAAGUGAAGAAAUUCAAGUAAGCGCGGGUCAACGGCGGGAGUAACUAUUACUCUCUUAAGGUAGCCAAAUGCCUCGUCAUCUAAUUAGUGACGCGUAUGAAUGGAUUAACGAGAUUCCUACUGUCCCUAUCUUCUAUCUAGCGAAACCACAGCCAAGGGAACGGGCUUGGAAUAAUUAGCGGGGAAAGAAGACCCUUUUGAGCUUGACUCUAAUCUGGCAGUGUAAGGAGACAUAAGAGGUGUAGAAUAAGUGGGAGAUAUUAGACCUCGGUUUGGUAUCGUCAAUGAAAUACCACUACUCUUAUUGUUUCCUUACUUACUUGAUUAAAUGGAACGUGUAUCAUUUCCUAGCCAUUAUACGGAUAUAUUUAUUAUAUCUUAUGGUAUUGGGUUUUGAUGCAAGCUUCUUGAUCAAAGUAUCACGAGUUUGUUAUAUAAUCGCAAACAAAUUCUUUAAUAAAACGGUGCAUUUAUGUAUUUUUGAUUUGAAAAUUUGGUAUAACUCCAAUUACUCAGGUAUGAUCCAAUUCAAGGACAUUGCCAGGUAGGGAGUUUGACUGGGGCGGUACAUCUCUCAAAUAAUAACGGAGGUGUCCCAAGGCCAGCUCAGUGCGGACAGAAACCACACCUAGAGCAAAAGGGCAAAUGCUGACUUGAUCUCGGUGUUCAGUACACACAGGGACAGCAAAAGCUCGGCCUAUCGAUCCUUUUGGUUUAAAGAGUUUUUAACAAGAGGUGUCAGAAAAGUUACCAUAGGGAUAACUGGCUUGUGGCGGCCAAGCGUUCAUAGCGACGUCGCUUUUUGAUCCUUCGAUGUCGGCUCUUCCUAUCAUUGUGAAGCAAAAUUCACCAAGCGUUGGAUUGUUCACCCAUGCAAGGGAACGUGAGCUGGGUUUAGACCGUCGUGAGACAGGUUAGUUUUACCCUACUAAUGACAAAACGUUGUUGCGACAGCAUUCCUGCGUAGUACGAGAGGAACCGCAGGUACGGACCAAUGGCACAAUACUUGUUCGAGCGAACA